rnacentral:lncRNA from 1 species
UGUGAGAUAAAAAAGUAAUAACGCUGCCCUCCAUUAUUUAUUAGCAGCCUUUAUUUCUCCCAGCAAAAUAAUUCCCUUCCUCCCCGGGUCGGUCGGGAGCGCAGCGCGAUGCCGUCACCCCGUCCCUCAGGACGUGGGCAUGGUUUGGAGCAGACGGGGUACUGCGGUGUCCCGGCCGAGUGCCACCAGGGGUGUUUGUGUUGUGUGGGACCCGUGUGGUGUCCCUGUCCCCGUGUGGUGUCCCCGUCCCUGUGUGGUGUCCCUGUCCCCGUGUGCAGCUCUGCUCUGCAUGGCCCUGGGGACACGGCUCCGGCAGUCCCGCGCUGCCCAGGGUUAGUGUUGGCUGUAUUGACUGCAUUUGUGACAGCUGGGGCUCAAUAUUGAAAUUACUCAGAGCUCCAGAUAGCCAGGCUGAAUCAAUCCGUUUGUUAGUGGGAGCCAAAGGCAGCACGACAGCGAAGGAAUAUUGCAUCCUCAGAGGGAGGCCGCGGCAGGGAGGGAUCGGCCCCAUGACCACGUUUACAGCCAUCUUUGUGAUUUUGCCUGCCAUCGUGUCUUUGCUUUAGCCCUGAGGUCCCAAACUCGGCAGGUCCAUGACCUCCCCUUCUCCUGAGGCAGCUCUCGGGAGCAGACCUCGUCCCCUGGCCGGGCAGCACGGCUUAGCCCAAGCAGAAGGGAGGCGGCGGUGCUGUCGCUCACAGACACGUUGUUUCCAAGACCCAGCUGUGGAUGUGAGGAUCAGCAACGAAAACCCGUCACCAGACCAUGUGCAGGUGUGGCACUCAGGUGUCUGGCACUGCGGGGUUCCCAGCAGGGAGAGGCUCUGUCUAACACGGGAACGCUGUCCUUGCUGUCCUCGCUCCCCGCAGCGGGGAAUCACCGCCGCUCCCAGCCCCAGGCACCUCUCUGCUGGAAGGCAUCGGGCGGACCGGGUGGCAUUGCCAUGGCAAUCAUCACCUGGGAAACCGAGAGGUGUGGAGCUGACAAAACGGAGGUGUUCGCUCGCUUUUCUUUGGGAAGCAGGUUGGCUCGGACCUGGCAUCCAGAUGGGCUCUGAUGGGCCCUCAGAUGGGCUCUGUCCAGGAGGAAGGGACCCAGAAAGGAGAAGGCUGAGGUGCGGUGAGGGCAGGAGGAGACGGAGGGGAAAUAAUUCACCCCUAAGGAGAGCCCAAGCACAGGAAAAAAUUGGGGGCAGAAAGUGAGAAGCGUCCAACAGCAGGUGGUAACUCCAGCCCUGUUGCAGAAGUUGGCAAAAUGCUGAAAUAUCCCGAGGAGGGUGACUCCAGCAUCGCAAGGACGCUCUGAUGGCUGAGGGCUGCUGCGUGGCGGGGGCUAUUAUUUCUUCAUGUGAUUAAAGUGAAUAAUUAAUACGGAGAUGAAGUGAUUUCCUCACGGUUUCCUGAGGGCCUUAUUCCUCCUCAGCAGCACCAGGGAUGGCAGAAGAGGCUGGGGAGGAGGUGCUGGGCAGGGAUGGGCUGCCCUGUGAAGGGCAGAGCGAGCAGCACUUGUCCUGCGGAUGUCCGAGCUCCGUGCCGGGAUCAGACGGCCGCCCAGCAAUAAAUAUCCCUGGCUGAAUCA